AAUGGGUCAGCGACUUAUAUUCUGUAGCAAGGUUAACCGAAUAGGGGAGCCGAAGGGAAACCGAGUCUUAACUGGGCGUUAAGUUGCAGGGUAUAGACCCGAAACCCGGUGAUCUAGCCAUGGGCAGGUUGAAGGUUGGGUAACACUAACUGGAGGACCGAACCGACUAAUGUUGAAAAAUUAGCGGAUGACUUGUGGCUGGGGGUGAAAGGCCAAUCAAACCGGGAGAUAGCUGGUUCUCCCCGAAAGCUAUUUAGGUAGCGCCUCGUGAAUUCAUCUCCGGGGGUAGAGCACUGUUUCGGCAAGGGGGUCAUCCCGACUUACCAACCCGAUGCAAACUGCGAAUACCGGAGAAUGUUAUCACGGGAGACACACGGCGGGUGCUAACGUCCGUCGUGAAGAGGGAAACAACCCAGACCGCCAGCUAAGGUCCCAAAGUCAUGGUUAAGUGGGAAACGAUGUGGGAAGGCCCAGACAGCCAGGAUGUUGGCUUAGAAGCAGCCAUCAUUUAAAGAAAGCGUAAUAGCUCACUGGUCGAGUCGGCCUGCGCGGAAGAUGUAACGGGGCUAAACCAUGCACCGAAGCUGCGGCAGCGACGCUUAUGCGUUGUUGGGUAGGGGAGCGUUCUGUAAGCCUGCGAAGGUGUGCUGUGAGGCAUGCUGGAGGUAUCAGAAGUGCGAAUGCUGACAUAAGUAACGAUAAAGCGGGUGAAAAGCCCGCUCGCCGGAAGACCAAGGGUUCCUGUCCAACGUUAAUCGGGGCAGGGUGAGUCGACCCCUAAGGCGAGGCCGAAAGGCGUAGUCGAUGGGAAACAGGUUAAUAUUCCUGUACUUGGUGUUACUGCGAAGGGGGGACGGAGAAGGCUAUGUUGGCCG
rnacentral:rRNA from 1 species